rnacentral:rRNA from 1 species
GACGAACGCUGGCGGCGUGCUUAACACAUGCAAGUCGAACGGAAAGGCCCUGCUUUUGUGGGGUGCUCGAGUGGCGAACGGGUGAGUAACACGUGAGUAACCUGCCCUUGACUUUGGGAUAACUUCAGGAAACUGGGGCUAAUACCGGAUAGGAGCUCCUGCUGCAUGGUGGGGGUUGGAAAGUUUCGGCGGUUGGGGAUGGUCUCGCGGCUUAUCAGCUUGUUGGUGGGGUAGUGUCUUCCCAAGGCUUCGACGGGUAGCGGGCCCGGGAGGGUGACCGGCCACGUUAGGACGGGGCUGAGACCCAGACUCGAACGCGAGGCGGGGGUGGAGAGGAGAAUAGUGCGGGAGGGAGGCUGAUGUGACGACGCCGCGUGGGGGAGAGGGAGCAGCGGGUUGGAUACCAAUUUCGUCUGGUAGGAGGCGUUAGUGACGGUAACGGGUAAAGAAGCAACGGCUAACUACGUG